rnacentral:lncRNA from 1 species
CGCGGCGCCUGACAGAUGGAGGUGGUUUGACUCGGUGUCAGUGCUGAAAAUAUUUGGGCAUUACACAGAGGAAUUCAAUUUUUUUUAUCUGCAAUGAGAGCCGAACAGACAGAAAAUGGAGAAAACUCAACGAACUCGCAGAGUGAAAUGCUGAUUAAUCAGUUAAAGGAGAUCACCGGCAUCCAGGACCCACAGAUUCUCCACAGAGCACUGAAUGCCAGCCAGGGUGACAUUGGACAUGCUGUUGGACUGUUGACAACCCAGACGGCAGAGGUUCAGGAUCCAGGGGAGGCACAGCAGCCUGGAACAACAGGACAGAACUGGGAAGGCC